rnacentral:rRNA from 1 species
UACGUAGGGCGCAAGCGUUGUCCGGAAUCAUUGGGCGUAAAGAGCUCGUAGGCGGCCUGUCGCGUCUGCUGUGAAAUCCCGGGGCUUAACCCCGGGCGUGCAGUGGAUACGGGCUGGCUGGAGGCAGGCAGGGGAGAACGGAAUUCCCGGUGUAGCGGUGAAAUGCGCAGAUAUCGGGAGGAACACCUAUGGCGAAGGCAGCUCGCUGGGACGUUACUGACGCUGAGACGCGAAAGCGUGGGGAGCAAACAGG